rnacentral:rRNA from 1 species
AUUGAACGUUUGCGGCAGGCCUAAUACAUGCAAGUUGAACGAGUCGCGGUUGGGUGAGUUAUGCCUGGGAAACUGCCUGAUGGCGGGGGAUCACUACUGGAAACGGUCGCUAAUACCGCAUACCACCACUUGUGCCCAGUUGGGACUGGCUUGUUGGUGGGGUAACAGGUCACCAAGGCCACGAUCCCUAGCUAGGCUGCGAGGAUGACCAGCAGCACUGGAAGUGAGACACGGUCCUGACUCCUACGGGAGGCAGCAGUGGGGAGUAUUGCACAAUGGGUGCAAGACUGAUGCAGCCCUGCAGCGUGUAUGAAGAAGGCCUUCGGGUUGUAAAGUACUUUCAGCGGGGAGGCGUUGCCCGCAGAAGAAGCACCGGCUAACUCCGUGCAAGCAGCCGCGGUAAUAC